AUCAUCAUGAUAGUGGGAGCAUAAAUGUUAUGAUUGUAUGAUUAUUAAGGCAAGUAUUGCAAGUUGGCAAUAUUAAUUAUAGAAAACAAGAGUCAUUCUGUACAAAGUCGUAAGGAUGGAAUAGUUGUUUUGCUAUAAUUAAGGGAGAGAGAAUAUUAUGCUUCAUUUCAAAUCUAAAGGAUUAGGUUGAGAAAUGUUAAUAAACUUAGUCAAGGGUACAUAGUGUGUUCUUAAAAUUUCGAUUAUGAUUACGACAUUCCUCUUCACAAUUCGGAUUUUGAGAACAUAGCAAAUAAAACAUUAUGCGUCGUGUCCCAUACGCUUCGGGUAUAGGAUCGAUUGCAAAUGCUUUAAUGUUUGACCAUUCUAAAAUUUUCCAAAUUUCGAGCGCAUUUAGAGGGAAAAGGAACUAGAAUUGGUUUUGACUAAAAUAAUUAAACAACUAUCAAAGGACAAUCCAAAGUUCGACGAGGAUUGGUUGCUUGUGAGUAGUUGGAAGCAUGGUAUUGGAUGGACCAUAUCGACAUUAUUAUGAAUAGAAAAGAUUCUAUUAAGAAUGAGUUGUCAUAUGGAAAUUAUGGAAAUGUUUCCAUAUUGGAUGGACCAUAUCGACAUCAUUACGAAUAGAUAAGAUUCUAUUAAGAAUAAGUUGUCAUAUGGAAAAUAUGGAAGCGUGUCCAUAUUGGGAAUUGAAUAUUGAAAAAAAUCUAUGUCUAAGAUUAGGAACUUUUAUGCAAAAGGAUGUUCAAAGGAAUGUACUUUGAGUGAGAAACAUCAUACCUAAGGAAUUGUCUUAUAACAAUCUCCAAUAGAGGACCUUGUAAUAUCAUUUGGCAAUAUUCUUUGUGACUUUGGUACAGUGACAUUACGAAAGGAUUGUUGCAUAAAGUGUUCGAAUCUAGCAUAUUCUAUAAGUGGCAAGUAUUUGAUACUCUUACACUUAUGAAAAAGGAUUUGGAGUUGUGAAAUGAGAAUGGUUGGAAAUGUGUUCAAUUUGAUCUAUUUCACAAAAGUAAGAACCAUAGGUAAACAUUGUGUGCAUGCUAAGAGCAUGGGACAAGUGUAAUAAUUCAAGUAAGAAGUUGAUUACCCGAAACGACAAAUAAUGAGUAAUCAAUAUGGUGAUAAAUAAAAGGUGUUUUAUUUAUGAUCAAAGGGUUGAGGCCAUAUGGGAUUAGUAUUAUUCUUGUGUUUCACAUUGGCAUGUUUUGACUUCCAGAAUAAUUGAAUUUAUUAAGAAUAAUCGAAUUAUUCGAACGGGCCACAGUCGUUCAUAUGUUGGAAGUAGAUAUGAAUGAAGACUGUCAUGAAUUGGUGUGUGGAUUGUCUAUAAGGUAUUAGACAUAAGCAAAUGUUUGCUGCAACGUUCAUGAGUGCUUAUGAAUGAGAAUUUGAGCAUUGGAUUAAACCCACGCUCACUUGGAUCACUCUAUGAAUUGUAUCACGAGUGAUUGGUAAGACGAUAGCAUCUUAUAUUCUUGAAACCGAGAUGUGUGAGUUGUAUCUUGCGAAUCGGUUGCACAUUGAUAAUAUGUAAACGC
rnacentral:lncRNA from 1 species